rnacentral:misc_RNA from 1 species
GUACCAGAUUCUCAUGACGGAUAGAUGAAAGAAGGUUUAGCUCAUUUUCAAAUUCCCGAGUUCCUUGAGUUGAGGUGGAUGACCGGACCUUCACUGCCACCUCUUGACCAUCAGGUAGUGUGCCACGGUAUACUGAUCCAAAGCCACCUUCACCUAUCAAGGUUUUAUACUUGUGGGUGGUAUUCUCUAUGUAUUCUAGGGUAAAUAUUUGAAUAGUUAUCGACUUCAAAGCUACAUCAUCCAAGCUUGG